rnacentral:rRNA from 1 species
UACGUAGGGUGCAAGCGUUGUCCGGAAUUAUUGGGCGUAAAGAGCGCGUAGGCGGUCUGUCACGUCGGCUGUGAAAACCUGGGGCUCAACUCCGGGCCUGCAGCCGAUACGGGCAGACUAGAGUUCGGCAGGGGAGACUGGAAUUCCUGGUGUAGCGGUGAAAUGCGCAGAUAUCAGGAGGAACACCGGUGGCGAAGGCGGGUCUCUGGGCCGAAACUGACGCUGAGGAGCGAAAGCAUGGGUAGCAAACAGG